GAUGAAGAACGUAGCGAAAUGCGAUAAGUAAUGUGAAUUGCAGAAUUCAGUGAAUCAUCGAGUUUUUGAACGCAUAUUGCGCCCUCUGGUAUUCCGGGGGCAUGCCUGUUCGAGCGUCAUUAAAUAACCCUCAAGCAUAGCUUGGUGUUGGGCUUUUUUACGUCCUUGACUGGGAUGGGCCUAAAAAUUAGUGGCGAUGGCUUUUUUACUUUCAAGCGUAGUAAAUCUCGUCUUGCUAAAGAGGAAAAAGAUUUUUUUUCUGCCAAAAAUUUUAACAUUUAAAGUUGACCUCGGAUCAGGUAGGAUUACCCGCUGAACUUAAGCAUAUCAAUAAGCGGAGGA
rnacentral:misc_RNA from 1 species